GACGAACGCUGGCGGCGUGCUUAACACAUGCAAGUCGAAUGAAGAGCGAUGGAAGCUUGCUUCUAUCAAUCUUAGUGGCGAACGGGUGAGUAACGCGUAAUCAACCUGCCCUUCAGAGGGGGACAACAGUUGGAAACGACUGCUAAUACCGCAUACGAUCUAAUCUCGGCAUCGAGGAUAGAUGAAAGGUGGCCUCUACAUGUAAGCUAUCACUGAAGGAGGGGAUUGCGUCUGAUUAGCUAGUUGGAGGGGUAACGGCCCACCAAGGCGAUGAUCAGUAGCCGGUCUGAGAGGAUGAACGGCCACAUUGGGACUGAGACACGGCCCAGACUCCUACGGGAGGCAGCAGUGGGGAAUCUUCCGCAAUGGACGAAAGUCUGACGGAGCAACGCCGCGUGAGUGAUGACGGCCUUCGGGUUGUAAAGCUCUGUUAAUCGGGACGAAAGGCCUUCUUGCGAAUAGUGAGAAGGAUUGACGGUACCGGAAUAGAAAGCCACGGCUAACUACGUG
rnacentral:rRNA from 1 species